CCUACGGGAGGCAGCAGUGGGGAAUAUUGCACAAUGGGGGAAACCCUGAUGCAGCAACGCCGCGUGAAGGAAGACGGUUUUCGGAUUGUAAACUUCUGUUCGUAGUGAAGAAGAAUGACGGUAGCUAAGGAGCAAGCCACGGCUAACUACGUGCCAGCAGCCGCGGUAAUACGUAGGUGGCAAGCGUUGGCCGGAAUGACUGGGUGUAAAGGGAGCGCAGGCGGUAUGUCAAGUCAAGGGUGAAAUCCCCGCGCUCAACGUGGGAACUGCCUUUGAAACUGGCAAACUGGAGUGUGUUAGAGGAUAGUGGAAUUCCAGGUGUAGGAGUGAAAUCCGUAGAUAUCUGGAGGAACAUCAGUGGCGAAGGCGACUCUCUGGCACAUAACUGACGCUGAGGAGCGAAAGCGUGGGUAGCAAACAGGAUUAGAUACCCUAGUAGUC
rnacentral:rRNA from 1 species